rnacentral:rRNA from 1 species
GGAACGAACGCUGGCGGCAGGCCUAACACAUGCAAGUCGAACGCCCGUAGCAAUACGGGAGUGGCAGACGGGUGAGUAACGCGUGGGAACGUGCCCUUCGGUUCGGAAUAACUCAGGGAAACUUGAGCUAAUACCGGAUACGUCCGUAAGGAGAAAGAUUUAUUGCCGAAGGAUCGGCCCGCGUCGGAUUAGCUAGUUGGUGAGGUAACGGCCCACAAGGCGACGAUCCGUAGCUGGUCUGAGAGGAUGAUCAGCCACACUGGGACUGAGACACGGCCCAGACUCCUACGGGAGGCAGCAGUGGGGAAUAUUGGACAAUGGGCGAAAGCCUGAUCCAGCCAUGCCGCGUGAGUGAAGAAGGCCUUAGGGUGUAAAGCUACUUUCAGCGGGAAGAUAAUGACGGUACCGCAGAAGAACGCCCGGCUAACUUCGUGCCAGCAGCCGC